rnacentral:rRNA from 1 species
CCUACGGGAGGCAGCAGUGAGGAAUAUUGGUCAAUGGGCUUACGCCUGAACCAGCCAAGUCGCGUGAGGGAAGACUGCCCUAUGGGUUGUAAACCUCUUUUGUCAGGGAGCAACGCCGGCUACGUGUAGCCGGACUGAGAGUACCUGAAGAAAAAGCAUCGGCUAACUCCGUGCCAGCAGCCGCGGUAAUACGGAGGAUGCGAGCGUUAUCCGGAUUUAUUGGGUUUAAAGGGUGCGUAGGCGGAAUGCCAAGUCAGCGGUAAAAUCGCGGGGCUCAACCUCGCUCCGCCGUUGAACCUGGCGUGCUUGAGUGGGCGAGAAGUAUGCGGAAUGCGUGGUGUAGCGGUGAAAUGCAUAGAUAUCACGCAGAACUCCGAUUGCGAAGGCAGCAUACCGGCGCCCAACUGACGCUGAAGCACGAAAGCGUGGGUAUCGAACAGGAUUAGAUACCCUGGUAGUC